GGGACUGCGGAGCGGGGCGCCAUGUCGCGGCGGCGGUGGCGCGGCCCUCAGGGUGCUGAAGGUGGCGGACGCGGAGCCGACAUGGGGAAGAUGGCUACGGGCGGCGGCGGCGGCGGUUCGGGCCGAUAUUACGGCGGCGGUGGCGGCGGCGAAGGCGGGAGAGCUCCUAAACGCCUGAAAACCGAGAGCGCGGAGGCGCCGCCUCAUGGGCCCGGUGGGCCGGGGGGCGCGGGCGGCGGGGCCGGAGCAGGAGGAUCGGAGAACUACGAGGACCCGCACAAGACGCCGGCGUCGCCCGUGGUUCACAUCCGCGGCCUCAUCGACGGCAUCGUGGAGGCCGACCUGGUGGAGGCGCUGCAGGAGUUCGGGCCCAUCAGCUACGUGGUGGUGAUGCCCAAGAAGCGCCAGGCCCUGGUGGAGUUCGAGGACAUCCUGGGCGCCUGCAACGCCGUCAACUACGCGGCCGACAACCAGAUCUACUUCGCGGGGCACCCGGCCUUCGUCAACUACUCCACCAGCCAGAAGAUCUCGCGGCCCGGGGACAGCGACGACGCGCGCGGCGUCAACAACGUGCUGCUCUUCACCAUCCUCAACCCCAUCUACUCCAUCACCACGGACGUGCUGUACACCAUCUGCAACCCGUGCGGGCCGGUGCAGAGGAUCGUCAUCUUCCGCAAGAACGGCGUGCAGGCCAUGGUGGAGUUUGACUCGGUGCAGAGCGCCCAGCGCGCCAAGGCCUCGCUCAACGGCGCCGACAUCUACUCGGGGUGCUGCACCCUCAAGAUCGAGUACGCCAAGCCCAGCCGCCUGAACGUGUUCAAGAACGACCAGGACACCUGGGACUACACCAACCCCAACCUGAGCGGGACAGGAGAGCCCGGCGGGACCCCCAACAAACGGCAGCGACAGCCGCCCCUGCUGGGCGACCACCCGGCCGAGUACGGGGGUCCCCACGGCGGGUACCACCACGGGCACUACCACCACGACGAGGGCUACGGGCCCCCUCCCCCCCAUUACGAGGGGCGCCGCAUGGGGCCGCCCCCGGUGGGCGGGGGGCACCGCCGGGGUCCCGGGCGCUACGGACCCCAGUACGGGCACCCCCCCCCGCCGCCGCCGCCGCCCCCCGACUACGGCCCCCACGCUGACUCGCCCGUGCUGAUGGUGUACGGGCUGGACCAGGCCAAGAUGAACUGCGACAGGGUGUUCAACGUGUUCUGCCUCUACGGGAACGUGGAGAAGGUGAAGUUCAUGAAGAGCAAGCCGGGCGCGGCCAUGGUGGAGAUGGCCGAUGGCUACGCCGUGGACAGAGCCAUCACCCACCUCAACAACAACUUCAUGUUCGGCCAGAAGCUCAACGUCUGCGUCUCCAAGCAGCACGCCAUCAUGCCGGGCCAGUCGUACGGGCUGGAGGACGGCUCGUGCAGCUACAAGGAUUUCAGCGGCUCGCGCAACAACCGCUUCUCCACGCCCGAGCAGGCGGCCAAGAACCGCAUCCAGCACCCCAGCAACGUGCUGCACUUCUUCAACGCGCCCCUCGACGUCACCGAGGACAACUUCUACGAGAUCUGUGACGAGCUCGGGGUCAAGCGCCCGUCCUCGGUCAAGGUGUUCUCUGGCAAGAGCGAGCGCAGCUCCUCGGGGCUGCUCGAGUGGGACUCCAAGAGCGACGCCCUGGAGACGCUCGGGUUCCUGAACCACUUCCAGAUGAAGAACCCCAGUGAGUGCUUCGGCCUCAUCUUCAUCCUCAUCCUCAUCCUCAGCCUCAGCCUCAGCCUCCCAGCCCCCUCCCCACCCUGCCCUUCCUCCUCCUCCUCCUCCUCUUCCUCAACCACUUCCAGAUGAAGAACCCCAGUGAGUGCUUCGGCCUCAGCAUCAUCUUCAUCCUCAUCCUCAUCCUCAUCCUCAUCCUCAGCCUCAUCCUCCCAGCCCCCUCCCCACCCUGCCCUUCAUCCUCCUCUUCCUCCUCCUCAUCUUCCUCAACCACUUCCAGAUGAAGAACCCCAACGGACCCUACCCCUACACGCUCAAGCUCUGCUUCUCCACGGCCCAGCACGCCUCAUAGGGGACCCCCAAAAUGGGCCCUGGGGACCCCCAAAAUGGGCCCUGGGACCCCCAAAAUCACCCGGGGACCCCCAAAAUCACCCUGGGGACCCCAAAAUCGGCCCUGGGACCCCCAAAAUCGGCCCUGGGACCCCCAGAAUCACCCCGGGGACCCCAAAAUCAGCCCUGGGACCCCCAAAAUCGGCCCUGGGACCCCCAAAAUCGGCCCUGGGACCCCCAGAGACCCCCAGGAUGAGCCAGGAUCCUUUGGAGACCCCAAAGAUCCCCCUGGGGAUCCCUUGGAGACCCCCAAGGAUCCCCCCGGGACCCCCAAAGAUCCCCCUGGAGACCCCCAGGACCCCCAAAACCCCCCUGGGGUCCCCCCAAGACCUUCUGGGAUCCCUUGAGACCCCCAAGGACCCCAAAACCCCCCCUGGGAUUCCUUUGGGGACCCCCAAAAAUCCCCUCGGGACCCCUCUGAGACCCCC